rnacentral:rRNA from 1 species
UACGUAGGGGGCAAGCGUUGUCCGGAUUUAUUGGGCGUAAAGAGCUCGUAGGCGGUUUGGUAAGUCAGGCGUGAAAUCUCCACGCUCAACGUGGAGGGGCCACCUGAUACUGCCAUGACUGGAGUCCGGAAGAGGAGAGUGGAAUUCCUGGUGUAGCGGUGAAAUGCGCAGAUAUCAGGAAGAACACCAAUGGCGAAGGCAGCUCUCUGGGACGGUACUGACGCUGAGACGCGAAAGCGUGGGGAGCGAACAGG